AACCUGGAGGACAAAAGGAGGAUCAGAUGGAUGGAAGCCUGGAAGGAGCAAAAGAGACAUUCAGACAGGAUCAUCAUCUUCCUCUGACCCUCAGCUUCCUGUCCAACCUCUGAUCUAACUUCCUCCUCAGUCGUGGAUCUGCUGCUCCGUUUGCCUCCUGAUCUGGUUCUGGACCUGAAGAGGCAGCUGGAGAGACGGAACCAGAACCAGGUCCAGAUGCUCAGUAACGGACCACAGGUAGAGACUGGAGGACUGAGCGUCCAACCAGGUGGUCAGUAACAGGUAGAGACUGGAGGACUGAACGUCCAACCAGGUGGUCAGUAACAGGUAGAGACUGGAGGACUGAACGUCCAACCAGGUGGUCAGUAACAGGUAGAGACUGGAGGACUGAGCGUCCAACCAGGUGGUCAGUAA